UACGUAGGGGGCUAGCGUUGUCCGGAAUCAUUGGGCGUAAAGCGCGUGUAGGCGGUCCGGUAAGUCCGCUGUGAAAGUCGAGGGCUCAACCCUCGAAUGCCGGUGGAUACUGUCGGGCUAGAGUACGGAAGAGGAGUGUGGAAUUCCUGGUGUAGCGGUGAAAUGCGCAGAUAUCAGGAGGAACACCAAUGGCGAAGGCAGCACUCUGGGACGUGACUGACGCUGAGACGCGAAAGCGUGGGGAGCAAACAGG
rnacentral:rRNA from 1 species